UACGAAGGGGGCUAGCGUUGUUCGGAAUUACUGGACGUAAAGGGCGCGUAGGCGGUGUGUCAAGUCAGGCGUGAAAGCCCCGGGCUCAACCUGGGAACCGCGCUUGAGACUGGCACGCUCGAGUUCGGGAGAGGAUGGUGGAAUUCCCAGUGUAGAGGUGAAAUUCGUAGAUAUUGGGAAGAACACCGAUGGCGAAGGCAGCCAUCUGGACCGACACUGACGCUGAGGCGCGAAAGCGUGGGGAGCAAACAGG
rnacentral:rRNA from 1 species